rnacentral:rRNA from 1 species
UAGUCAUAUGCUUGUCUUAAAGAUUAAGCCAUGCAUGUCUAAGUAUAAACAUUUGUACUGUGAAACUGCGAAUGGCUCAUUAAAUCAGUUAUAAUUUAUUUGAUGGUAAAAUACUACUUGGAUAACCGUGGUAAAUCUAGAGCUAAUACAUGCAAAAAAUCCUAACUGGUUAUAACGGAAAGGAUGUAUUUAUUAGAUAUAAAACCAAAAAGGAGAAUAGAGGUGAAACUUUAUUUUUCGAAUAUAAAUGGUGAUUCAUAAUAACUUAAUGAAAACGAAUCGUAUGGUUGCAAAAUACUGACGAUAGUUCAUUCAAAUUUCUGCCCUAUCAACUUUCGAUGGUAGUAUAGAGGACUACCAUGGUGGUAACGGGUAACGGAGAAUCAGGGUUCGAUUCCGGAGAAGGAGCCUGAGAAACGGCUACUACUUCUAAGGAAGGCAGCAGGCGCGCAAAUUACCCAAUCCCAACAUGGGGAGGUAGUGACAAAAAAUAACAAUAUUGGGUUUAUAAAAUAAUCUAAUAAUUGGAAUGAGUACAAUCUAAACCCCUUAACAAGUAACAAUU